GUCUUAUUGAUUAAUAAUUUUAAGUCUUGCCUGCCCUCUGUUAUAAGAAUAAAUGGCCGCAGUAAUUUGACUGUGCUAAGGUAGCAUAAUCAUUAGUUUUUUAAUUGAAAGCUGGAAUGAAAGGUGAUAUAAGAAAAUAUCUGUCUCUUUUAUAAAAUUAAAAUUUUAUUUUUAAGUAAAAAAGCUUAAAUAGGAUUAAAAGACGAGAAGACCCUAUAGAAUUUAAUAUAAAAUAAUUUUUUAAUUUAUUAGAAAUUAAAAUUUAAAGAUUAAUUUAUAUUUAAUUGGGGUGAUUAAAAAACAUAAUAAUCUUUUUUUUUAUAGGACCAUUGAUAUAUGAUUAUAUGAUUCAUUUUUAUGAUUUAAGAAUAAAUUACCUUAGGGAUAACAGCGUAAUUUUUUUUUAAAGUUCAAAUUAAAAGGAAAGAUUGCGACCUCGAUGUUGGAUUAAAAU
rnacentral:rRNA from 1 species